UACAGAGGGGGCAAGCGUUGUUCGGAAUUACUGGGCGUAAAGGGCGCGUAGGCGGCCGCCUAAGUCAGACGUGAAAUCCCUCGGCUCAACCGGGGAACUGCGUCUGAUACUGGGUGGCUUGAAUCCGGGAGAGGGAUGCGGAAUUCCAGGUGUAGCGGUGAAAUGCGUAGAUAUCUGGAGGAACACCGGUGGCGAAGGCGGCAUCCUGGACCGGUAUUGACGCUGAGGAGCGAAAGCGUGGGUAGCAAACAGG
rnacentral:rRNA from 1 species